AUUGAACGCUGGCGGCAUGCUUUACACAUGCCAGUCGAACGGUAACAGGCCUUCGGGUGCUGACGAGUGGCGAGCGGGUGAGUAAUGCAUCGGAACGUGCCCAGAGGUGGGGGAUAACGCAGCGAAAGCUGUGCUAAUACCGCAUGUGAUCUGAGGAUGAAAGCGGGGGACCAGGCAGCAAUGUUUGGCCUCGCGCCUUUGGAGCGGCCGAUGUCAGAUUAGGUAGUUGGUGGGGUAAAGGCCUACCAAGCCGACGAUCUGUAGCUGGUCUGAGAGGACGACCAGCCACACUGGGACUGAGACACGGCCCAGACUCCUACGGGAGGCAGCAGUGGGGAAUUUUGGACAAUGGGCGCAAGCCUGAUCCAGCAAUGCCGCGUGCGGGAAGAAGGCCUUCGGGUUGUAAACCGCUUUUGUACGGAACGAAAAGGCUCUGGCUAAUACCUGGGGCUGAUGACGGUACCGUAAGAAUAAGCACCGGCUAACUACGUG
rnacentral:rRNA from 1 species